rnacentral:tRNA from 1 species
GCCGGAGUGGCGAAAUCGGUAGACGCAGGGGACUCAAAAUCCCCCGCCGCAAGGCGUGCCGGUUCGAGUCCGGCCUCCGGCACCA